rnacentral:lncRNA from 1 species
GAGGGCAGUACUCGUCUUCCGAAGCAGCGUGCGUCUCGCUCUCUUCGUUUGUCCAGGCAACACGUUGGCAGCAACAAGGGAGCCGGACAACGACCAGGUGAGACUCAUGGCAGUCUGAAUCAAGAGUGGGGGGUUGGCUAGAGGGGGGACCGUAUUGAAGGAACACCUUGUGCUGGUAGACAGGCAGCAAUAAAAAUAGGGAUAACAAACGGCAAGCAUAGUAAUAUUAGUCUGUUCUCCCCGAGAGAAAACUACUCAAUUCCAACCACUUUGUACAAAGCGCAUUGAAAGUGAAGCUCAGAUACCUCUCAUGUUUUAUCUCCGCUUCUCUCUCUGUCUCUCUUUCUCGUGGUCAAGGUGUUAUGAUGUGAUGAUGGGGACGCAGCGUCAGAGUGGUCGACUGACAUACAAGAUAUCAACAGGUAUGUGAGCCCGUCCAUCCAACUCCAGUUCAGUUUCACAAAUAGGUGGGCAGCCACUCUUCUGAACAAAGUAAGUCUCAGCGUCGUAAGAUCUCCGUGCAGCCAGGCACUUAAGACUGGCGUUGACCCCCAAAGGCUACUUACCGGGGUUUUUAUGUCAGCAUAACGAGAUUUUUGACAUUUUCAGUUUUAACUUUAAUUUGAACCCGGUCCCGCAAUGUCGCCCGCUCCGGAUCUUAAUGCUUCAUGGGGUCAAAUGACAACAACUCAAUGUUGAGCCUGCCGAGUGAAUCAAUAUCCGACUGGUCUCCUGUAGGCUAGACCAGUAGAUUAUAGAGAAAUAAUGCGUGGCUCAUUUCCUCCCCAAAUAGUGUUCAAUAUAAGAAACAAUAGCCGCUGAGAAGCUUUCAUGGAAAUGAUGAUAGGUUGCAACCCCCAAAAUUUCGCUCAUAGUCAUCUUUUGUGUUGUUGCUCUGAAAAAAGACUGGUAGUCAAAGGUUAUAAUUGAUGUGUUAAACAUAGGAAGAAAACUGGUUUCAGCACCACAGCAGCAGACAGCUCCGCAGCUCUGGACUGAAGCCCCCAAACAAGGAAAUAAAAAGAGGUAGUGAGAGUAGUGAUACCAACCCAUUCCCAAACACUUGGACAGGGCACACACACACACACACACACACACACACACACACACACACACACACACACACACACACACACACACACACACACACACACACACACACACACACACACAGGGCUGAUGUUACGCUGACUACUCUAAAGCUGAUGGAGCCUUUAAAAAAAAGUCCAUCACUGUUUCAAUUAUGCCGAAACACUCUUGAAGAAAAGCUAAUGGAGUCUUCUGGUAACAGCAUGGCAAGUGUGAAGGCCAAGAUGUAUUAUGCAUAUUAUUCAUUUUUGUCAAAGUACCAAAUCAUUCUGGGUGAAUCGCCUUGGGAUGUGUCAGAGACAGGCAGUCUCCUUCUGGCAGGGUCUGAGGUGUCAAAGUGGAAUCUGGAGUGCAGCCAGAAUUUCCACUGAAUGAGCCUGGCUGGUAAGGGAAGGGGGGGGGGUUAUGUGAUCUGAGGCUCACAUGGCUACACCCACAUGUACAUAUCCAAACACAUACACAUGCACACACCAAAUGGUGUGACACAGCACAUGCAAUCUGUGGCCAUGAGAGAAAUUCAGUGCUAGCAGGUGUUCAAACAGGCCGCUCAGUACAUUCUUCCAAUUAUUGCAAUUAGAUGCUGCCUGGUUACCACUCCAUAAUGUACAACUGUGAUGAAGGUGCGCUGAUAUGAACAAGUGUUUGUGUGAGGCAGAGGAGGGGGAAGGAUGACACUGAGACAACACUAGAGGGAAAAGAGCAAGGAAGCGGAGCCCCUCAGUGAAUCUGUGACAAUAUGGAAACAGUUGCUGUCUGUUGAGAAUGAUAUAUAUUAUACAAAGUAAACAUUUUGUGAGGGCAUGAUCCCCUUUUUAACCCUGUGUCAUUAACAGCUUGAGCAGAUUGUCUAGAAACAGUGAGCUUUGUCCCUCAGUCAUAUACCACAAAAGUAGAUUUCAUUAAAAAAGAAAAAAGGGGUCUUUGAUACUGUAGGGAGGUUGCUGCAUUUAAGAUAAACAAGUGCUAAGUAUUAGUUUUGUAUUACUUAGGAAGUGACGUGCAACUAAGACAGAAAACGCUGACAUUUGAUAGGUUAGAACUCCCACAUGCCUAGCAUUUCUCGAUUGAUAAUGACUUGAAUGUUUCUUACCGUUAAAUAGAUUACGGAAAAAGUUUUCUGUUACCUUGAGCUAAAGGCACAAAAUAUAGUACAAAAAUAUUUUUGUCUUCAGUGCAACCUCAACCCCCCCGUUUGACAAAGCAUGUGCAUUUGUCAAACAGGAGGAGUAAGUGAUGAGACUAAAUGUAGUUUUAGUAAAGCUAUUCUUUAGUUAAUGUAAAGACAUUAAAAAACCUACCAAAACUAGAAACACAAGAAAGCAGAUAAUAAAAGAAAAGAGUGUGUGAUAGAAGGCACAUGUAAUCCAUCAUUAUGAGGGAACAUCUUGAUUUGAUGUCUGAUUGAGCUGUCAUGUGUUACAAGGAGUCGAGGGCAAUCAGUGACCGUGGUCUUCUUAUCAGAAGGCAAGGACAAGAAAGAAAGAAAGACAGAUAACAGGGUGCCAUAAAGUGGGACAGCAAAGACUGACAUCCGAGCAUGUGUGUUUAAGUGUGUGUCCACAGGUGAGGGUGCGUGGGUCAUAUUAAGCAGGAAAUGUUUGUGGCAGCUGUCGGCCUUGUUUGAACAGCAAUCACAAUCAGCCACCGCAGCAGCCAAGCGUGUGCUUGUGACAGUGCUGGUGGGAGACUCUGCCUUCAUGCCCCUGCUUUUCAGCGUACACCUGCUUAUCCUCCUCUUCCUCCUUCUCCCUCACCCUCUGUUCCUCUUUGACCUCCCCUUACUGCUUUGCACUACUUCUGCCUUUUUCACCUUAAACUGAAGUGAUUGACAUUGCAACAGCUCCACCAUUUUCUUGACCGACACUGAAAUGUGAUGGAUUAGUGUAAUAUUUGAAAAAGACUUGUCCGUCUGCCCGGCUGAGGGUCUUUGCUGGAAAGCUGAAAAAAAAAAAAUUCUAUUCCUCUUUUUUUUUUCUUUACUUAAGCAACAAAACAUUUUCACCUCAUAAUGUUUUCAUCAUCAUAACUUUGUAUUAAAAUACAAAUGAGAAUAUGCACCACGAGCCUGGGAAUAAAGGGAUGACAAGACAACGGUAUUAGGAUGCAGGCUUCAAUUGAAACAAGGACUGCUUUUGUCUCUUUUUUUUUUUUAACAAUAUUUCUAGGUUUGUCCUUUCCUAUUCUACAAAAAUAUCUUUUGGCAUGCAGCUUUACUCAGUUUUUAUGUUCACAUGACUAUAAAAUGUUCCUGAUACCAACAGGAUCCUGAAGGUAGUAUUAGGAUGUUGAGGCUGUACUGCUUCAUAGCCUCUGUAAAUUGUCACCUAAAAGCCAAAUACUAUUUGUUAGCAAUGUUUUAUCUUAAUUUUUUGAUCAUGAGUCUUUUUAAAACACAUUCCUUAAACCUAGAAAGUUGAUUUUUUUCUUUAAUCUGAGAUAAUAUAAACACAUUAUAUCACUGUGUUCGUAAAUGUGUUUUCAUUCUACUACUAAACACUCACAGCUAGACUAGCUGCAAUUUUUAACACAGUUGUUAAUGUUAAAACAUGAUAAAAAUGUUAAAACACUGAAUUAGUGUAUCUGAAGAGACAACGGUAACACUGUAUGUCAAAUUGACCACAUGCCAAAGUAAUAUUCUCAUCUUUAAUGUGGUUUUAAUCCAAAAGAGCCCCAUUAGAGAAUGAAAACAUGUGCAAUGUUUUGUCAUUUCUUAAACUUUUUCCCCUCCUCUACUCUUUUACCUUUUUUCUCGUCAACACCAUGUUUACACGGACAACCUUAUCCUCAUCCUUCCCCCUUCUCACUUUACCUCGUUUAAUUUGUUCUUCUUGCUCCUCUACAUCUCCUUGGCGUAAUCCAUUGUUAGAGGUGGCCUUUUCAUUUAUUGGAGGAGGUGGGAAAGAGAAGAGAUGGAGAAGUGAGGGAGGAGGUGAUGGGGUUGGGUUGUCACUUGAGGACGCUUGAGGAUGGGUUGAAAAACACUGGUGGGCGGGGUUAUGGGUCCUCUAAAGCAACAGGCUUAUCAUGGUUUAUGAAGUAGAUUGAUAAGUGACAGGAGCAGAACUUGAUGUAUUCAGCCUUUAUUUUAGCAGAGAUCAGCUCUGUGAAGGUGAUAUGGCUCAUAUUGUUUUCUUUUUUGUCAUUGACUUACAUUAGACAAACUUCCAGGCUUUGUUGAUCAGCUCGUAGCGACAUGGUUAAAUCUCCUCUGCUAGUCUGAUGUUGGAGCAUAUUUUCUGUUGUUCUGUUAUUCUGCUGACUGUGAGUCAUGAUGGGUUAGUUGAAUAAAUGAUGAUGCUGUCUUUCCUUUGACGGGGUCUAACAUCUGAGCUGUCAGGCUCACUCCUUCACAAUUUUGAGAAAGUAUUCAUUUCAAUGGCGCUGACAAAGGACCAACAGGAUUAAGGAAAAUACAGAUUAGUGCAAAAAAAGCAUCAUGCUUGAAAACUGGAAGUUCAAAGAGAAAAUCUGCAUCUAUCACAUGUGCCUUUGCUCAGUCCUUCAAUUGAACGGUAUGAACAACUGGCAGCUUAUAAGUGGAGUACAUUUGAGUCAAUGAAAUCCCUUCAAAGCUGCAAGACAUUACUCUGAACUUAAAACCUUGUUUUUCAGUUCAGUUGAUAUUUCUCAUGGUGGAUUGAUUUCUUUAGAGACUACGUGUCAGUAAAUAAUAUCAAACACUGCUUAAAGAAGUCAUUGAAGACAGUCAUUCAGAAUGACAGCAGGUACUUUCAGGAUAACAAUAAUUAAAGACCUGCUGAUAAGCUGGUCAGGGACAGGCUGUGAAACCCUUACGGGCUAAUUACCUUGCAUUAUAGAUACAGAACAACUGUAGUUGAGCUAAUUAGUAUAUGCUUCUUUAAUACAAUGUUUUUACUGAAGAGCAUUGUUGUUAUCUUCACAAAGGGCAGAUGUACAGAUAUAUGACAUUGCCAUGACAUAUGGCAAAUUGUUGUAAUAUAAACACUACUGCUUUUUUUUGUUUGUUUGUUUGUUUGUUUGUUUGUUUGUUUGUUUGUUUGUUUGUUUGCUUGUUUCUGGUCUACAUUUCAAUCCAGGAAAUUCUUCAUACCACACAUGACAAUAUGUCUACAAAUACUACCUAACAGAGCAGUUUUAAAUACUCUGAUUGCUAUCAAUUUAUCAGGAUUGUGGAGCCUGCUGCAUUGUUGGUGUAUAACUGCAUUGACUGUCAAUUUUAUGAAGCCCUUAAAUCUAUGAAAAUCUAAGAUUGUUAUUUGUAUGCCAGUUUUUGUUUGAAAUAAAUAAAUAAAUCAUAAUGAUAAUAAUAAUAAUAAUAAUAAAUGGACUAACAAUUCAUUUUUUCCCUCCAAGGCUGAUGGAGAGUUCUUCAUCUUGAGAUCAAGCACUCCAUUGUCAACCAGCACACUGUGAGCAACCGCCAGCAUGCCAACAUCGGCUGCUUGUGUUUUGUUUGCGAUUGGGAAGUGUACAGUGAGCCUAUGUGUGCGUAUGUGUGUGUUUGUGUUGUGGUGUCUUUUCCUGAAUGGCAGACCAUUUUUGCAGAUUUGUCCUAUGUGAACUCUGUAAUAAACCUCCAUGCUGGUGUGGAAGUGGGCAUGCCAAAUUAGCUGCUUCAUUUAGUAAAAUCUUGUGGUUUUGUAUUGUUGUACACCACUGCUCAAUUUGCACCAGUGCAAAAAACUACAUUUCAGUCAUUUCGUCUGUUAAGUUUCUCAAGCUUGAUGUGUGUUACCGAAGUUUGUUGUACAUGUGUGUGUGUGUGUGUGUGUGUGUGUGUGAGUUUGUGUGCUUCCCCAUAAGGUUUCUUAUAAUCCAAGGCCACUCAAUAGCACCACAUGGCUCCAUCCCAUAUCCAGGUUGCCAUGGCUACCAGAGCCACUUAUCACAGAGGGUCCCAGCAGAUCAAACAGGUGUGCAUCCUGACAAUGUCGCUCCUCUACUGCUGUUGCUAGGAACCCUUGUUGCACAGCACUUACAGGUGCUUGUUGCCGACAGAGAAAAAGACAGGUUGGGAUGCAUAACCGCUGUCCUGAUGAUCUGGUCUCAACUUUUGAUGCUUUUCAACCACAGAAAUUAGGGUCUGAAUUUAGUUCUGGAGCAGAAUUACCCCUUGAAAAUCCCCUGCUGAGGGGCUAGUACUUUUUUAUGGCCAAUAGACUUUGGGAGGCAGGAUUGAAUGAUCUCAUUUAUAUCAAAAUAACAGGUUAAUUAUUUCGAUAAAAAAUGUUAGUAGCAAGACAUACACAAAUCCUGAUUACAUCUAAUCAGCAAAACUAUGUUUUUAGUUUUACUGAUUACCCUGAUGUUCAGGCCCCCUGGUGGAAACACAGACAACAGUAGACAGCAGGAACCAUUAAGUUCCUGUAUGAGAAGCCCCUGGAACAAAAAGUUUCAGGUGCUUUUGGUCAAAAAGCACCUUGUGUAAAUUUUUAAUAACUGUGUGUGCGUGCGUGUGUGUGGUGUAAUUUUUGCCCUUGUGAGAAACAACAAUACUCUUCAGUACCUCUAAAGUAGGAUGAUAUUUGUUGUAAUGAUUGGGAUUUUUAGAUGGGAUUGGUGUUUGUUUCAGAGGUUUAGAGAAAAGGUGGUGUGAGAGUCUUUUUUUCCCUACAUAACAUGGCUACUCUGGAUUCUUAGGGCAUUUAGUGCCUGUCAGAGAUGCAGUGCAGGGUGGUGCAUCCUGCACUGUACUUUUUAAGUGCAGUGCAGCCUGGUGCACAGCCAAUUUGGUAUUUUUGUAGACUGAGGUGCACUGAGGCGCCCAAAGCUGGGCAUGGCGGCAGUAGAGAAAGGUGUUGAUGGAAUCAGCUGGCGCAGUGACAUUUUUUUGACCUGUCGCCAGCGAGGCAAGAAAACAGAGCCCUUAGUGUUGUAGUCCACAAAGGCCAGAGGCCAGGAUGUGGUGUCUCCUUGUCCUUUGCCCAAGAAAAGUUUAAAAAUAACCAGAUCCUCAGGUGUCUGCCUCCUACUUGACACUCCUCACAUUUCUACUUCCUUCUGAAGAUUCAUUUAAGAUGGUUAAGAAAGAACCGGUGGAAAUGCUCGAGACCAAGCUGGAGAAGAAUAGAUUUUUUUAAAUUGUAAGCCCUGUAAGAGUUCUUUCACUGGCAGACUCUGCCUGUUCACCAAUCCUCCCAAACCAUUUCUCUACCUAAUGCUGUCGAUAGCACCACCAUCCUUCUCUUUCACCUCUUAAUCUGCUGUUAACCACAGCACCUUUCUUCUCCAUCACCUUACCUUGCCCCACAUGUAGCUUGGUCUCCUGCCUACCUCUCUAUUGCAAACUUAAGAACUAUAUAUAUAGAGAGUUUUACUAGUGUAGCCAAACAGAUUGGCACGAAGAAAAGAGGACCUAAUGGUGUUACAAAAAUAUAUAAAAGAAAAACAAGGAAUGAGGCAGAAGUAAGACACCAAAUUAAAGGAAAAGAGUCUUUUGACCAUAAGAUCUUGAAUAGAAAAGAAAAUACAAGACAAAUCGAACAAAAUCAUGAUCAAAAGAACAGAACAAAACAAGAAAACAAAGACGAAACAAAAAUAAAAGAACACAACACAUUAUGGUUGAGUCCUGCCAUAUACUGUACAUUGCAUAGAAAUGAUUUAAGGAGGAGCAUGUACAGAAUGUGGAUACAAGGAUGCAGCAAACACCAUGAUUCUUACAGUUAGGUCUUGUCUAGCAACAUUCAAAUCUAAAGCCAAUGUUUACCUUUACCUGAGCCAUCUCCAUAAGUAUAAAACACACGUAUCCUCAAGGCCAGCAUAUCCAAAAGGAGUUGUGGCUUCUUUCUGUGUGUGAGCAGUGUUCUCCUAAAGCUAAUAACCAAUUUACAAAAUAAUUAAUAUCAUCAGAGCUGGUCUUGUCCAGUCCACAAGUGUCCUCCACAGAUCACUAUUGACACCUAAGUUGCAGCCCAGGCUGUUCCUUCACACAGACAGGGGAACGGCAAUGUGUUUUCAGAACAGUUACACCUGCAGCUGAUCUAAUUUUGCACUUCUCGACUGGAGUUUUAUCAGGUUGUAGUCUGCAGCUUGUAGUUAAAUGAGACUAAAUGAAAUCUUUUAAAAAAGACUCUCUCUCUGUCAUUCAUCGUCCACUGCACUGAUUUCAUUCUCCAUGGUCUCCACUUCUCCAUGGUCUCCCUUCACCCUUGCCGUAUGUGCCUCAAUGUGGCUUUAAUCCCAAUAUAGCACCUUUUCCCUUUUUCUCGCAACCUUUCCCCCAUUCCUCACACCUUUCUAACACCAUUUGCCUCACCUUUCCCCCUUAACAUGACCACCCCCCACCCCCCGCCUCUGUUUUUUCCACAUACUCUCCCCAACUCUCCACAUCUCUGUCUCCCCUUCUUUCCCCAUUACAAGCAGAAGUGGUCUAUCUGUUCUCCUUUUUCUCCCUCCCAGUGAAUCUCUUAACUGUAACUGGAGAUCAGAAGGCUCUUUGAUUCUCUUUUUUGUUUCUUGCCUAAGGGUCAAAUAUUCAUGUUCUUUAAGACAGUUAAUAUGCUGGUUUAUCAAAUACAUAUAUCUGACUUUUUAGAGACAAUGAGAGGGAAUUUGGCCACCACACUGAAAGUCCAGACCACGGAACCAUUGUUUUUUAACAUCAGUAUUGAAGCCUUAUUACAACCAUAAAAACAAGUCUGAUUGAGGGCAUUGUAGGUGCCUUUGUUUUAUCUAGGCCCUAACUUUAACUUAAUAUGUCAUAGGCUUCAAAACAGGUUGUUGUGACGUCUCUUCAUUAUGGCUCUAACGAGAUUAGCCAGAAUGCAAGUGACAUUUAGCCCCUUUUGAAUUCAUUUACUGCUUUGCACCAAUGCAACGGUUGAAACAAAUGUGCAAUAUGUUCAGCAAAAUCAAAACAGAGCAAUUUUAUAUCCUGACAAUCUACAAUGGGAUCACAAUAUGACUUUGGUCAUCUUUGACUGAAAGCUUUUAUCUGUCUAAAAGCUUGCAAAAGCAGACUCACUUUGUCUGUCUGCUGUAGGUUUUUUCUCAAAGGGAGAGUUAAGCUCUAAAAUCUUAGUGCCUGGGUUUGUUAAACCAAAUGAAGUUUAUAAACUAAAUUUGAUAGUGAAAACUCUUUUUACAGAUGAUUUAAUCCUGCUAAAGUCAGAAGGCAGAAAGUGUUGUCUCUAAAGUCUCUUUCUCAGACAACUGAUUUUCCUCUUUAAACCUUCUUUCCUCAAUUUUGAUGUUACUGUAAUCACAACAUCAAAGCAGGCAAUUUCAAACACACUUUCAUCGUUUUCGACUACAACUUAAAACCGUCUGUAUGUGAGGACGUUCCACAAUAGGCAAACUAUGGCCUGCACUGAUGAAACUUCAGGGACAAUAGGAUUUUCUUUUUUGUCUAUUUAAUAAGGUUAAUCAAUUUGUGUCCCAAUUUGGAGCCUGUUUUCCAAAAUAGAAAGAGAUAUUAAUUAUUGUCGUACCUAUUUAAGUAAGCCUGUGGCCAAAAAAAAAAUGCAUAAUUGGUAGGCCUUUUAAUUUAACAUUUAUUUGUUGAAAUGUACUGUGGCAAUUUUGAUACCAAUAUAAAUUGUCUUGAAAAUUACAAAUCAUAAUGAUGCUGGUGGCCAGAGGACAGAGAAAUCUGUUCUGUCACAGUACGAAUAAUGAAAAUGUGUCAUCUUGGAUGAGGAUUGCAGACGCACACUGCUCUUCAGAGAAUUCCAUUUUCUACUUCUCUGACAGACGUGGAGGGGGAGCAGAACACAUGUACCUCCCCCUCACAUACACCAAUUACUGCAAUGAGCAAAUGAAAGGUUGGGUCCCAUCAGGGCCACCAUAGGGGGUAGACAGAGAGAGGGAAAUGCUGCUAGAAGAGGGGGAGUUAAACAUAAUUGCCCCCUCCACCCAUCACCACCAGCCUCAUACAUGGACAUACAUACAUAGCAACAAUCAUCUUCUGUCGUGAUUUCUGUUGAUAAUCUCAGAAUUUCACAGCAGAUGAGCUCCUCCCGUCAUAUUUGUGCUCUUUUCCCGUGUUGCCCUUCAUUUCACGUCUCCAUAGCUCCUUCAUUCCACACAGAUUUUCCUCUCUUCUCCUCAUCAGCUGUCACAAUGCACAGUGACAUUUUUACUGCCUCACUUUGUUUUUACAAUAGUAGCAGUCAUUAAUAUGUAGAUAGUCUGUCAGGUCGAUCAGAACUAUUUGUAGCAAAAAAUACAAAAAUGUUAGCCAACGAAUCAUUGGCUGGUUCUUUAAAUUAUAAGUUAAUGUGAGAGUCCAUAUAUCAGUGAAACACAGCUAAAAUAUAUCUGUAAUGUUAAUUUUUAUCAUCUUGAGGGAAUCCUUAAUGACUGUCUGUCUUAUUUUUUAAGUACAAGAUCAGUCAUAAACUGAAGGCACUAAAAAUGAAUUUUAAGUUUCAGUCUUCCAUCAUAUUUGUAGGCGAUCUGUAUAUCGUACCUAUGUCCUAAGUAAAACCUGUCUCCAAAUCUGAAAGCCGUGAAGUCCCUUGACUGUUCUCAUUGCACUCAGCAGCAGUUUGGUUUCUUCUCAGGCUAAUUGAAGUCAACCACAGGGCACGGCUAAUGAUCAGCCUGCACUGACCCUUGAUAGUCUGUCAUCUUCCUGUCAGCACAGGGAGCUAAAAAGAGAGGUAAAAAGAAACAGAAUUUGGAGAGGAGAAUAGGGCAUGUGAAAGAAGUGGCAGCUGGGUGGGGUGUGAAAAAAGAACAAAUGACCCAGGUGAUGCAAUGAUCACCAUGCUGUGUAGGAAGUAGGCAUGACCGGCUCUGCUCACUUCCGCCCAGUGACCAUUAUCCCCCUCCCUUAGGCUCCAAAUUCACUAACACAGAAUUAAAUCGAACAGGUGGAGUGAGAGCAAGGGUGGGGGGCAGGAUUUACAGAUGAGGUGAGAGAGAGAGAGAGGGGGGGGGGGGGGGGGUAGAAAUGGAAGGAAAUAAAAAAAAGUAUUGGAAGAGAAGAGAUCGGAAAAUGGGGACGUGGCUUAGAAAAAGAAAAUAAAGAAAAGUAAGGGAAAUGGUAUUAAUAUGAAGAAUACAAGAAAUAGACAAAGAAAUUUGAGAAAAAUAGAUAAUAAAUAAAGAGUGAAUAAAUGAGCAGCAGAAACCUGCAAUGAAGGGACAAAAGAGUGAAGGGGAAGAAAGACAGUAGAAACAAAAGGAAAGGAAACAGGGAGGAUCAUAUGGAUUUGUGCAGAAUUGUCCUCAAUAAUCAAUUUAGUUUUAUUUCACUUGUGAAAUCUUAACAAAUCACUACUUUGAGCUUUGGUUUCAACAAACUAGGGGAUUUUAAAGAAACUAGUUUCAGCCAGAAAAAGGUUUGUGCAACAUGAGCGUGUAAUUUUAGACACCACCAAUUUUAGUGAAAAAGACCUUAUUUGGAAAAAAAGAAAAAGAAAGAAAGAAAGAAAGAAAAUAUUGGCAGAUUUUAGGAAAUUUACACCAAUUAUGAUGCCGAAAGUGAUCUUGAAAAUUUUCUAAAUUAAAGCAUAGAGAUUUCCAACUAAACACAAUGUUUUGCUCAAAAGUCAGCAUUCUGAAAAACAAACACAAUUAUUUUCAAUGUUGCUGUUUUUUUUUAUUUUAUUCUCAGAAAAUAGAUUUUUUUAAGGCAAAGAAAUGCAUCAAAAGAAAGUAAAGGGCUACAGUUCUCAUAUAAAGAAAUGCAUUUUAUUGUUGUUCCAUUUGUUUUUAUCAGUAUUUAAGAAUAGGCAUUAAUAUUUAAAUGACAAUGUUCCUGUCAAUAAGCUGAGAAAAUCUAGUUUUUUGAGGAAAAAAAUGUAUAUUUAUCAUUGUAAUGUAAAUGUUAUUUCAAAGCAGAAAAUUGAUGGGCUUCCUACACUUUUGUAGUAAUUUGAGAUGCUAACACUGGUUGCAUGAUUUAAGAAAACACUAUUUUGUGAAUUCAUGAUCUGCAUCAGACUGUUUGGAGGGUCUCUGUGUGCCCGUUUGAUCCUGAGGCAGCUGUGCUGUCAUACGCUUUAGGCUUGGCCUACAGUUCUGACACUUUUAACAACCUUUGUUCACUUUUCCUUUCGUUUCUGUCUGUAAACAGCUCUUCCUGUGUUUGUUCUGACCUAGUUUGGGAAAUUUAAGGAGUAUAAAACCAGCGCUUUACGCAUAGAUCCAUUUUGUGUCUCAUCCUGAUCAGACGGAGGAUGGAGACGGCAUAGUGUACGUUGUUAUACUACGAAUAAGCAAAUACAUAGCCGUGGAGCCCUCAUAAUAAAAACAUAUGGGUCUCUAUUUCUGUGUCUCGCCGGCGGCAUAAGUCAGGUCCAUUGUGUUGAUGUGCCCAUGCACACUUUGGUGAGCGCGCAACCUGACGCAAGUACACCUCUACAUUUCUGCUCUUCCCAGUGGUGCAAAGUAGGAAAGAGGGAGGGGAGAAGUCGUUAAGUGGGUUUAACACAGACGAGUCCAGUUUUCACCAAACUCAUGCUUCUCUCAUCACCUUUGAAUGCACCACUGGCAAGGUGUAUUGCAAAAUGAAACAGGCCUAGUCACAGAGAUGGCUAAGACCGCACUGCCAGAUGAUAGUGACCGGAGGCAGCCCCCAAACAAGCGUCAUCCGAAGCGCUGUGGAGGGCGUCCUCCACACUCUCAAAAAAGCACAGAGGGAUCUGGUGUGCGCAAGGUUGGACCCACUGGUAAGACAAACAUCCUUUUCCACAAAUAAAGACAAUCACAACAAGUUGCAUACAUUUGAACCUCACGUGACAAAGGUGGGUCAUGCAAACAGAUCAUAACAUAAACAAAUGCCAUGCAUAACAGCAUUAAAAUCGGAACCACCUGUGAGUAAAAGACAUCACACUUGGUGGCCUGGCUUUUUCUUCACACUAAUUUUGGUAUGUGAAAUUACCUUGGCUCACGCAGCUGAAUAUCAUAAUGUUGGCAUGUAGGCCUAACUCCAGAUUGAAUAUUUUCAGAAUUUAAGGAUGUAAAACAUUAGAUGAACUGUUUGUUUUGCAUGAAAGCUUCUUUCAUUAUUUUGUUCACAUUUUUGAAGUAAACAACUUGUUUGAUCACUACAAUAAAUCAUCUGGUCAGCCUUGGCAGCCUACCCACAGCAGCAGGACAGGGAGAGGACAUGAAGACAUGUCCGAGUCUGCCCCCAAAUGAAUUAAAUAUCUUAACUCCAUCAUAUAUGACUCUUCAUUGGAUAUUUAAUUUAAUGUGUUAAUUCGGACAGCGCCAAACACGCUUACUGGAUAAGAUAUACAUCAGAAUAUAUUGAUAGAUCUAAAUGUGUGUGCUGAGAUAUUGGCACUGAAUAUUAGUUGUUGUUGAUUAUUUAUUGCACUGAAAUGUGCCUGAAACUGUGGAAACCUGCCUGUGAGAUCUUGGUGACGUGUGCACACUGCUGCGCCGCUCUACCAAAAUACCAUCUGACCAGCUGUGCUCUGCCUACACCGAGAGCUGACUAGGUUUAAAUCAACUAGCCCACAGCGCACUCUCCGCUCCGCUGGCGGGCACAAAAAUGUCACCGCGCCAGCUGAUUCUGUCAACAAUUCCACCUACUGCGAUGCCAUGCUCAGCUUGCACAUACAACAUACAAUUGGAUACAAUGGCCAAUCAGUGCUCGAAUUGCUACGACCAUUUUGUCCGGCAGCUACCAGAAAUUGACCAAUCAAUGGACAGUGGGGAUGGAAAGCUGUUCAAAGGGAUAUUCCGGUGUAAAUUUAAUCCGUGGUCACCAUAGCACCUAGUCAGUCUCGCCUCGAGAGAUUAAUUUUUGCGGACUUCCUGCUUCUCUAGUUCCAUCAACUUCAGCAACUACCUUACAAUAGCAAUACGCAACAGUCUACGUCUCCACGCACAAACCUCAACCAAAAAGCCACUCUAUAGCCACAAAUAAUGCUCAGAACAGCACGUAACUUCAUCAACAGUACAUAUAGGGUCCCAGCCAUAGUACUAGCCAUCAAACAUCUUUUUAGCUUUGCGUGAUUUCUUUAGCAAAGAGACUAAACACAACUCACCCACUCUCCUCCAGCAGCUGCUUGUUUGUGGGGGAUGACGAGUCGAUCACCAAGUGCUGCGGAUCAUUUCCUUGAAGUAAUAACCAUCAUAAUAAUCAUUUUGCACUGCAGACGUGGCAGUACUAAUAUCUUAGCAUCUCGCUCUGAUUGCAUUCCCAUAAGGUGAUAAUCAUAAAUGUUCUUCCUUGAGCUGCAAAACUCUGCUGCACUCAGUGAUCAACUCGUCAGGGCUCCCCCACAAACAAGCGACUGCUGGAGGAGAGUGGGUGAGUUGUGUUUGGUCACUUUGCUGAAGAAACCAGGCAAAGCUAAAAAUAUGUUUGGUGGCUAGUACUAUGGCCAGGACCCUAUAUGUACUGUUGAUGAAGUUCUGAGCAUUAUUUGUGGCUAUAGAGUGGAGUUUUGGUUGAGGUUUGUGUAUGAAGACAUAGACCACUAUGUAUUGCUAUUGUGCGGUCGUUGCUAAAGUUGGUAUAACCAGAGAAGCAAGCAGUCAGCAAAAUUAAUCUCUGGAGGGGGUGUCUAACUUGGUGUUACGGUAUGUUUGACCAUGGCUUAAACUUACACUGGAAUAUUCCUCUAAGGAUGCAGGCAAUUUGGAGAAUUUGUUUAUUUAAUUUAUCCCGAUUCAUUUUCAGCAUUUUCAAAGUAAGUAUAUUCUUUUUGGCUAGCCACUGUCUAUUUACAUUUUUAUAUGAACAUUUUUAAGAAUAGCCUCGCGCUUAGUGACUUGGUAGCUACAUGUUUAUUUACCAAUGCUGCAUAAAAAUACAGCCAAAUUUACUUUUAGUCAAUAAUGCAUAAGUCACUUUAUUGUUGGCAUAUCUGACAAACAGACCAGAUUGUUCAAGGCAUUUUCAAGCUGUUGAGUUGCUUCAAUGAAUAAGCUGAACGAACAGGUAUCUGGUUAAGUUAACAGUACAGUAACUUUAUCGUCCAAAUUUCGUAUUUCACUUUAUUUGGAUGUCAUCAUAUUGUUAGAUAUAGCACUUUUAAUAUAAACCACUGCAUGAAUAACUACUUUACAAGGCAUAAAUAGUAGCCUACUCGUAUUGAAAUUGUUUUGUUCUUUUUCAAAUAUGAUAGCAUUUAUCCUCUCAUUAUUGCCUGAAUUAAUGUGUUCAUAAAAUUGUACCCAUUUGAUGACAGCUCUGUAACUUACACGUGUUUCUCUGUUUUCUUAACAUUUCCCUUUAAAAAAAAAUCUAGACGGAACCUCACCUUAGGAGGCAUGCUGAUGGCAGCAUUGACCUGACUGACACUAUGGAGGCUGUCAGUGUAAAGGCCGCAAACAAGGGGAAGCCAUGGGCUUCACUGGAGUCUUUUUACCUGCACUUUUUAACUAAACGGAUUCAUCUCUGGUAAAUGCAAGAAUCAUACAGAAGUGAUUUUGUUGAAAUAUUAAAAUAUGAUAAAUAUUCAUUGAAUAUUUAUACUUAUUAUGGGACAAUUUAAUUGUAGAAUGAUCUGUUUAGUCUCAGCCUGUAGUAUUGGAUGGAAAAUGUAAUGCAGAAUAUUUAAGUUUUUCAUGUCGCCCCAAUGGAUGCGUCACCAGCAGAAAACAUUUGUCAAACAUCAUAUGACUCCACUUCACACAAUAUAAGGAUCCAUUCCUAUACAAAUGUUAAUUUUAUCUCUUUUCAAACAAGACCUAGGUUAUGUUUAUUUUUGCUACCCUAAGUUCUAAAACAAUAUCUUAUUUUAAGAUUAUGUUGGACCUGACAACAUGAAGGUGUAUGGAGUAGUGCAUGACCUGGCAGAUUUUUUGGUUGGCCUCAGGGACCACCGUGUAGCUUUGAGUGGAGCAGAGAGUGCCCAGAUCAUCUCCCAGUGGCAGGCAUUGCGGGAGUGUGAUAAGAGGAAAACUGUUUAUCCACCAAGUCAUCAAACCACCCCCAACCAGGGACGUUUCAGGGCCAUAAAGAAAAUUGUGGCACGAGGUGUGGAGAUCACCCAAAGGUGUGUUAAAUAAAGGAAACGCAGGGUCUUUAUUGUUUGACUUGAAAAAACAAAUGAAAAAAAAAAAAGACAAAAAAAAAACCCUACUGUUUGCUGAAGGGUUCGUGCUUUAUUUAUUACUUUACUUUUUCUUUUUUCAUGAACAUAUAGAAGAUGUACUAGAAACAAGUCACACAAUAUUUGUUUGAAUCAGGGGACACAAGUGGAUAUGGUAAAGAAAAGGUUUAUUAUGGCGGAUGAUACAUAAUAAAUUAGUGUUCUUAAGGUCAGUCAUUUGCAGUGUGGGGGUAGUACCCAAAAAAAUAUAUAUAUUACACAUUGCUAGUUCCUGACAGUCUUCUGCUUAAGAUGUAUCUUACACAACCUAACAGUACCGUAAAAGGAAACAGGAAAGGGAGCUCACUGGAACUGUUACUAAUUUUUAAUUGUAUUCAUUAUUCUUUGUCCCAUUCUAUUAUUAUUUUUGUUACUUAUGCUAUUGUCAUUUAUGUCACUGUUAUCAUUUUUGUUGCUGUUGCUUUAAUUAGUGUUGUAGGAGCAGCAGCACUUGUAUUUAUUAUUAUUUUUGUGUGUAUUCUUAUUAUUUUUCUAUGUUUUCCUAUAAUUGGUAUUGUUGCAGAUUAAAGUGUUGUUUUUCGAGUACUAUUAUAGUGUUAUUUAAAUGGUUAUUGAUGUUAUUAUUUUUCUUAUUAUUGUUACAAUUGGUUUCAUUUGCAUUAAAUAAUAUAAAAUUGGUUAAUGUUUUUGUGUUUU